rnacentral:rRNA from 1 species
GUGGGGAAUUUUGGACAAUGGGCGCAAGCCUGAUCCAGCAAUGCCGCGUGCAGGAAGAAGGCCUUCGGGUUGUAAACUGCUUUUGUACGGAACGAAACGGUCCGGGUUAAUACCCUGGGCUAAUGACGGUACCGUAAGAAUAAGCACCGGCUAACUACGUGCCAGCAGCCGCGGUAAUACGUAGGGUGCAAGCGUUAAUCGGAAUUACUGGGCGUAAAGCGUGCGCAGGCGGUUUUGCAAGACAGGCGUGAAAUCCCCGGGCUCAACCUGGGAAUUGCGCUUGUGACUGCAAGGCUGGAGUGCGGCAGAGGGGGAUGGAAUUCCGCGUGUAGCAGUGAAAUGCGUAGAUAUGCGGAGGAACACCGAUGGCGAAGGCAAUCCCCUGGGCCUGCACUGACGCUCAUGCACGAAAGCGUGGGGAGCAAACAGGAUUAGAAACCCUUGUAGUCC